UACGUAGGGGGCAAGCGUUGUCCGGAAUUAUUGGGCGUAAAGAGCGUGUAGGCGGUCCGGUAAGUCAGCUGUGAAAGUCAAGGGCUCAACCCUUGAAAGCCGGUUGAUACUGUCGGGCUAGAGUCCGGAAGAGGCGAGUGGAAUUCCCGGUGUAGCGGUGAAAUGCGUAGAUAUCUGGAGGAACACCGGUGGCGAAGGCGGCAUCCUGGACCGACACUGACACUGAGGAGCGAAAGCCAGGGGAGCAAACGGG
rnacentral:rRNA from 1 species